GCGGCCCACAAGGGCAGUAGCUAGGAAGGCUGUGCCUGCUGGGGGUUGGGUGAGACGAAACCAGGGAACCCCCCUCCAGGAGGCAUGCGGGACUCUGACCUCUCAUUUGGGGGUGCCCCCUAGCCUGCUCUACACACCUCCUCCCCCGCUUCCUACCCCACCCAAAUCUGCGCGCUCAAGAAGCAGCCAAACUUGAGAACUGUGCUGUUGCAUCCUCAGGCAAAUGAUUUCUUCUGUAAAUGUCUUCUUGACAUGUUUAUGAAGAGACAUCCUCAGAGCCAAACUGCCUUCAUUUUCAUCAGAUCUGUUUGCAAGAGAUAGUCAUAGCUGACCAUGUUAACUGUGACCUACUUUUAUAUAAGGGGCACAGUGCAUCAUGGGACCUUCACAUGAGUAUCCAGGCAGCCCUCCAAGCCAUCUGUAUGAAAAUCUAAUUGUACAAAGCCUCAAGGAGUCUGUGAUGGCUAAUCUUGGUUGUCAACUUGAAGACAUCUAGAAUCAACUGAAUCCCAAGCAGCUAGGUGUUGAGAAAUUUUCAUGAUCGAAUCAUCUGAGGUCAGAAGACUCACUCUAAAGCUGGGCUACACCUUUUGAUGGCAUCCCGCAUAAAAGCACAUGGAAUAAGGAAAGCUUUGAUUUUUGCCUGCUUGUCCUCACUCUUACUGGCAAGUUCAUCUAGUCUGCUGCUGUGGCAUUCUUUCACUGGUGUUAGAACCUACUUCUUCAUGACUGAAGACUAGCUAAGGUAUCCAGCCAUGUGGACUGAAUAACUACUAAAUUUAUGGCCUUUUUUUUUUUUUGGAGCAAGAGAUAUUCAUUGUUGGACUAGACAGACAACAGCCUGUUAGCCACUCUAAUAAAUUACCUUUAGUAUAAUAUUCUUUCUAUCAGUUCUGUUUCUUUAGAGAUCCCUGAUUAAUACAGAGAGGCUGGAGUAUAUAGAUGAGAAAAGGACUAGGGCAGGAAGCUCCAUCUAUGUAGCCUCAGGGAAGUUAUCAGCCAUACUGGGUACAGAUCAUUCAGUGUGGCUUAAGGCUACCCAUAUGACUACCUGUAACACCUCACCCAUUGCUAUGUAAUAAGCCUAAUAAAGUCGUUGGUUUCC
ensembl:antisense 9330179D12Rik RIKEN cDNA 9330179D12 gene